GGUGAGUAAUACGUGAGAAUCUGCCCUUAGGAGAAGAAUAACUGCUGGAAACGGUUGCUAAAUCUUCAUAUGUCGAGAGAUGAAAUAGCUUAAGCUGCCUAAGGAUGAGCUCACGCCUGAUUAGCUUGUUGGUGAGGUAAUGGCUCACCAAGGCCACGAUCAGUAGCUGGUUUGAGAGAACGACCAGCCACACUGGGACUGAGACACGGCCCAGACUCCUCCGGGAGGCAGCAGUGAGGAAUUUUCCGCAAUGGGCGAAAGCCUGACGGAGCAAUACCGCGUGAGGGAUGAAGGAUUUUGGUCUGUAAACCUCUUUUCUCAAGAAAGAAGUUCUGACGGUACUUGAGGAAUAAGCAUCGGCUAACUCCGUGCCAGCAGCCGCGGUAAUACGGGGGAUGCAAGCGUUAUCCGGAAUGAUUGGGCGUAAAGCGCCUGUAGGUUGUUUAUUAAGUCCGUUGUUAAAGCCUAGGGCUCAACCCUAGAAAAGCAAUGGAAACUAGUAGACUAGAGUAUGGCAGGGGUAGAGGGAAUUUCUAGUGUAGCGGUGAAAUGCGUAGAUAUUAGAAAGAACACCGGUGGCGAAAGCGCUCUACUGGACCAUUACUGACACUCAGAGGCGAAAGCUAGGGUAGCAAAAGGGAUUAGAUACCCCUGUAGUCCUAGCCGUAAACGAUGGAUACUAGAUGUUGUGCAUUAUGUACAGUAUCGUAGCUAACGCGUUAAGUAUCCCGCCUGGGGAGUACGCUCGCAAGGGUGAAACUCAAAGGAAUUGACGG
rnacentral:rRNA from 1 species